UUUGGUUUUGUUUUUUCAUUUCUUUAUAAUUAUGAUCGUUAUGCUUUUCCAAAUGGGAAGAGUGAGUGAGUGUUAGAGAGUUUUCUUUUUAAAAAAAUCUUGGUCGUUUUUAGAUUGUAUUGGCAUUAUUUAGGGAAAUCAGUCUAUUUGUAAAUGACCAGUAGUCUAUUUGUAAAUUAAAUAAAUGGCCAUUUUGUAUUUUGGAAUAUCCAAUUUGCUUGAGGAAUGAGUUGUUUGUUGGUUUUGAAUACUUUGACAUGGAAAUUAAUGUAUUUUUUAAAAAUUAUUUAUAGCGAGUCACACAUAGAAAGACAA